ensembl:lncRNA
CCUCACUACUGCCCUCCCCAAGUCACUGACCGCAGUGGGAGGCCCCACAGAGAGCUGGUCAACAGCAGGGUCAAGGUCCAGGCAGGGGGAGCUCAGAGGCAUCGGGCAGCUGAGCUGUGCCCCACACAGCACCAUGAAGCUGGGGCUGCUCUGUGCCCUCGCCAUGGCCCUCCUGGCCAUGGCCAUGGCUGACCUCAAAGACUCCAAGAAGGGAAAAAUGCUCACAUGGAACAGAGAGGAGCGCACCAGGAGGGAAACUGAGAAACCUGCACAGCAACGCCGCAGUCACAGAGCCCAGGCAGGACAGGAAAGGAGGAGCAGCGGUGGCCAAGCACAGCCCUGCGCCAUGAUGGAGCUGGGGGUCCCACCACCCCCUGACUGCACAGCAGCCCUGAGGGGAGCCAGGGGGUCCUGCUGUGCCUCCAGCAUGAUGGGGCUGCCCAGCCGCCCCAGAGUGCUCCUGGGGGGCAGCACCCCCACCUGCCACACGAAGCUGCCAAAUAAAGCCACCAAACCAGCCUGA